GACGAACGCUGGCGGCGUGCUUAACACAUGCAAGUCGAACGGACAGGCCCUGCUUUUGUUGGGUGCUCGUGUGGCGAACGGGUGAGUAACACGUGAGUAACCUGCCCUUGACUUUCGGAUAACUUCAGGAAACUGGGGCUAAUACCGGAUAGGAGCUCCUGCUGCAUGGUGGGGGUUGGAAAGUUUCGGCGGUUGGGGCUGGACUCGCGGCUUAUCCGCUUGUUUGUGGGGUAGUGGUUUACCAAGGCUUCGACGGGUAGCCGGCCUGAGAGGGUGACCGGCCACAUUGGGACUGAGAUACGGACCAGAAGGCAACGGGAGGCAGCAGUGGGGAAUAUUGCACAAUGGGCGGAAGCGUGAUGCAGAAGCGCCGCGUGCGGGAUGACGGGCUUCGGGUGGAAAACAGCUUUGGACUGUGACGAAGCGUGAGUGACGGUAAUGGGUAAAGAAGCACCGGCUAACUACGUG
rnacentral:rRNA from 1 species